AACAAGCAGGAAAACAGGAGUGUGACAAGGGACAGGGCGUUGUUUCCAAUGACCUAGCUCUGACCCAAAGGGAGAGCUGAAGGAGCAGAGGCAGAGACUGGCUAGACCAACUCCCUGGUUCUCAGCAAAUUGCUUCACAACUGAAAAUCAUGCCAAAACAGCUCUUUAUCAAACAUGUGGAAAAAUCUGCCCCACAGUAGUACAGUAAGCAUGAUUUAGAUGUCUGCGUGUCUCUCUUUUCCUUUCUCUUUAAUCCAUGAGAAGGAAACUUCCUGAGGAAAGGCAAAAUCAGACAGAUGGGGCUCUUGUGAGAUUUGGAAAUAUACUAGCAAGAAUAGACAGCCAAAGGGAGUUUGAAACUAUUCACCCUGAUUCCUCAGACAAGGGCUGUUUCCCUGUGCAUCAGUCACAUAGACAUGUAGGCGCCACGAGGGACCCCAGGAGCAAGGUUGCUGAGUCACUCCCCAAAGUCCAUGUUCCCAGUUCUGUAGACAGAGUGCUCCAAAGGGCAUUAAAGGUUAAGCAUCUCUCACUUCGUCUGUUAACUAAAAACAAGGACAGGGAAGUAGGAAGGGUAGCCACUUACUGGAAUAGAGCUUUGAGGGGCCUUGACUAGGGAGCCCUGGUUGUGACAGCUCCUAUGACUCCCAGAAUGGAAGUCUCGGGUUUCCAAAGACACCCCCCUCCACACACACACACACACACACACACACACACACACACACACACAC
rnacentral:lncRNA from 1 species